AUGAAGACCAGAGCUAACAGGGCCUGUAGGGAUUCCCAGAAACAAGUAGGAAAAGGGGCACUAGGAACUGCAAGACUGGAGCGUGAAAAGCCCAGAAUUCACAGUCCAGGUGCCUGGAACUUUCUCAGUUCUCUGCACUGGGUCCUGUGCGGUGCAAUACUGAGGAUUCCUGAUUUUCUCAGCAGCUCUGGUCGCACCCUAGGCCGCCUGGGCUCAGAAAAGACCAUGGCAAAGAGAGGAACCACCAAGUGCAAUCUUUCUCUGAGUCUGGGCCUUUUGCUGCUGCUGAAUUUUCUGGGGACCGCGAUGCUAGAAGAUGUACACUCCUUUAGUUGCAACUUGAUCAUCAGGGCUCCUACCAAAGCAGAACCUCUCUGGUAUGAAGGACAGUGCUCAGUGGAUGGAAUUGAUUUCCUUUCUUCUAAUAACGUGAACAAGACCAUGCCUUUGGGCAACCAGGAGAAGAUGGCAAAUGCCACCGAAGUGUGGACAUGUGAGAUCCAGUGGCUAGACCUAUUGGGCCAGGACUUAAGGGACAAGGUGUCUGAAAUCAAAGUGCACACAACCAAGACCAGUGGUAAGUGUGGGACUGAGCACAGAGGCAGAGAUGGUUGGCAAGAGAGGAGGGGCAGAGCACAUGGAGGAGUGGGAUGUGAGUGUCUUUGAGUGAAGGAGCUGAGUGCUUGUGGUACUGUGCAGGCCCAGGGUACACAGUGGAUAAAAAGAGAAAGUCCUGUGGAAAAGAUACUGACACCUAAGCUUGUAGAGAAGGACUUGACCUUGAGGGGUAACGAAUGGAUCAGAAGGGAAGAAUGACUGUGUUGUAUGUGACUUGCAGGUCACCCCACUUUACGGGUCACCAUGCUUUCUAAGCACAGACACGGACAAAUCAUUAGUGCUUCCUGGGAAUUCAACAUCAGUGAGAAUUAUUCCUUCAUCUUGGACCUAAAGAAUAUGAAAUGGAUACCAGAGGACAUCAUGAAAGAAUGGAAAGAUGAUGCGACAUUAAUGAAACAUCUGAAUUUGUUCAUAGUAGAAUGCAGUCCGAAAUUCAAUGAAUUCUUAAAUCAGCAUGAGGAAAGAACAAGUAGGUAUUACCUGGAUUGUCAGAAGGAUCUUCUAAUUUCAUAGACUGAGUGAGUGAGUGACUUCUGGGGAGUGUUCCUGGCUGGGGAGACAGUGAUGACCACAGGGAUUCCUCAGUCCAUCUCACACCCCAGUGUUCCUCACUCCCUGUUAACCAGUGGUCCAGGCUCUGCAUGGCCUGCUGAUGAGCCCUAACUCUGUGUGCAUCACUGUACACUUCCAGCCCUCUCAUCCUCAGGUAGCUGCCCUUCCACCAGCUCCACCAUCACUUUUUAAAGGAUUUACCAUCUGACUCUGGCACAGUUAUACACCAGCAAUUUCCCAACAUCCAGUGAUACCCACAGUUCAUUUGUCAAACUUUUGGGAUGGUUUGAUAGACAUUAACUUUCCUUUGUAAUGAAAUAAAGUCUGCUGAGACUUCAUUUAUACAACUCCCACUCCUCUGUCUACUCAGGACUUUGUAAAUAGGUCUGGCAUGUGAGUCCCUCUGGCUGCCUUGGGAGAGAAGGUGCUAAUGGAGGGGUGUAUUUAACUUUAUGGAGAACUUUCCUAUGUUUUUUUAAGGAUCAACAACAAGGGCCCCAGAUAUCACCCAGCCUCCACCUACCAGGCAGUUUCCUUAUAAGGAAGUAUUGAUCCCUGUGGUUCUCAUCAUCUUUAUUAUUUUCAUUUGCAUAUGUGUGAAGAGGAUGUGUUGUCCCCAAGGAGGUGAGGAGCAGGCUGGGGUCUCAUCCUGUCCUUGGUAGUGUUGUUUGUCAGGGGACUUGCAAUAGUU
rnacentral:lncRNA from 14 species